AUUCCGUGAUUAGGGCAUUUGGUUUGAUAACCUUUGAAGCGCUUCCAAGCUUCAGUAAAGGUUUCAACUUGCUUCUAAGUGAAUACGGAUAUCUCAUUCCGGAGUCU
rfam:Arabidopsis thaliana chromosome 4, complete sequence.